rnacentral:sRNA from 1 species
ACAGUUCAAACGAGGCUCCAAAAUUUUCUGUUUUACUAAAAAUGUUUGUGUUAAAAAAUCGAAAAAAGUUUGUAGUUUUUAGAAGAUUUUAAAGCAAGUGUAAUUUUUACAAAGUUACCUUUUGGCUUCUCAAUCGCGUUCUCCUUCACCCCACACUACUCUUCUCCAUCGAUGCUGUGUGCUGUUCGCAGCAGAGAUUAAUCAGGCGGUAUUUACACUAUAUACUAAUCAAGCUUUGGAACUAAGAAAUCCAAAUUUUUAAAGUAUUCUUUUUUUCAAAACAAAAUAUUGUCUACAUUUCUGGCUGCAGGUUAAGGUCGAGACCUUUAGUUCUUUGGCAGAACUAAAAUCAUUCCACUGGAUGUUCAUUCAUGGAUUUCUUGUAGGAUUGUUCGACGAUAAUUGUAACUUUCUGGCGCUGAUCUCGAAAUAAAAUCGCUUAGUGAUGUUAUA